GCAGUGGUGGUUCAGAGGUAGAAUUCUUGCAUUUCAUGCUUUAGAUCCAGGUUCAGUUCCUGGCCAGUGCU
rnacentral:tRNA from 1 species